AAAACAAAGAGAACGUUACCUGCGCUCUGGCCUAAAUCCCCAUUAUUUAGAGCGCAGGUAACGUUCUCUUUGUUUUU